rnacentral:rRNA from 1 species
AACGUAGGAGACAAACGUUAUCCGGAGUUAUUGGGCGUAAAGGGCGUGCAGGUGGUCUGUUAAGUCUGGCGUGAAAGCUCCUGGCUAAACCGGGAGAGGUCGUUGGAUACUGGCGGACUAGAGGACGGUAGAGGCGUGUGGAAUUCCGGGUGUAGUGGUGAAAUGCGUAGAGAUCCGGAGGAACACCAGUGGCGAAGGCGACACGCUGGGCCGUACCUGACACUGAUACGCGACAGCAUGGGGAGCGAACGGG